rnacentral:rRNA from 1 species
GAUGGACGCUGGCGGCGUGCCUAAUACAUGCAAGUCGAGCGAACGGACGAGAAGCUUGCUUCUCUGAUGUUAGCGGCGGACGGGUGAGUAACACGUGGAUAACCUACCUAUAAGACUGGGAUAACUUCGGGAAACCGGAGCUAAUACCGGAUAAUAUUUUGAACCGCAUGGUUCAAAAGUGAAAGACGGUCUUGCUGUCACUUAUAGAUGGAUCCGCGCUGCAUUAGCUAGUUGGUAAGGUAACGGCUUACCAAGGCAACGAUGCAUAGCCGACCUGAGAGGGUGAUCGGCCACACUGGAACUGAGACACGGUCCAGACUCCUACGGGAGGCAGCAGUAGGGAAUCUUCCGCAAUGGGCGAAAGCCUGACGGAGCAACGCCGCGUGAGUGAUGAAGGUCUUCGGAUCGUAAAACUCUGUUAUUAGGGAAGAACAUAUGUGUAAGUAACUGUGCACAUCUGGACGGUACCUAAUCAGAAAGCCACGGCUAACUACGU